rnacentral:misc_RNA from 1 species
UAGAGAGGAAAAUGGUCCUGCCGUGCAACAGAAACAAAAAAACUUACCCUUGCUGGUGAGACUGAAGCUUCUGAGCCUGUAACUGUCCUCGUCUUCACCUUCUUCCCUCUGAAUCUGAUUCGAGGGAUCAGGAACAUCCAAAAAUGCAUUACUCUUUCUAUGAUGACUAUGAUGCAUACUUUGCCCUCUUCGACUUCCUCUUCUUCUGAGGCCAGGGCUGAUAUCAUUGUCAGUCAGCCUGGGCUCGCUGCUGCAAUGAGCAGAUUUAACUGUGCCUUCAUGAUGAUGAUGGUGAUGAUGGUGUGCAGCUGAAACAAAUUAAAACAACCAAUAUAUGAUUGACGGUUCACUCUCGAAUCGACUUGAAUUUUCUAUUAACAGUUUAUCAUAAAUCAUGAAGACAUAUACAUUUGGCGUCGUAUUCCUUUAUUUCAUUAAAUAUCCUACUUUUUCAG